GAUGAUCGCUGACAGAAUGCUUAACACAUGCAAGUCAACUUGAACUUCGGUUUGGGUGGCGGACGGGUGAGUAACGCGUAAAGAACUUGCCUCACAGAUAGGGACAACAUUUGGAAACGAAUGCUAAUACCUGAUAUUAUGAUUAUAUGGCAUCGUAUAAUUAUGAAAGCUAUAUGCGCUGUGAGAGAGCUUUGCGUCCCAUUAGCUAGUUGGAGAGGUAACGGCUCACCAAGGCGAUGAUGGGUAGCCGGCCUGAGAGGGUGAUCGGCCACAAGGGGACUGAGACACGGCCCUUACUCCUACGGGAGGCAGCAGUGGGGAAUAUUGGACAAUGGACCAAGAGUCUGAUCCAGCAAUUCUGUGUGCACGAUGAAGUUUUUCGGAAUGUAAAGUGCUUUCAGUUGGGAAGAAAAAAAUGACGGUACCAACAGAAGAAGUGACGGCUAAAUACGUG
rnacentral:rRNA from 1 species